GUCGCCUAGUUGGUCGAGGGCGCAUGAUUGGAAAUCAUGUAAACGCGAAAGUGUUUCGAGAGUUCGAAUCUCUCCAUCUCCGCCA
rnacentral:tRNA from 1 species